rnacentral:rRNA from 1 species
AUGCCUCCUAUCUAUGAUGAUUAUUGUGAUGAAAUUUAUGCUAUAAAGAGUAAUGAUAUCCAUGAAACUUGUCAUCAUGAUUUUAAUGCUCAAAUUGAUUAUGUGAAUAAAGUAUCACAUGAUAGUUAUUUUGUUGAGUUUGCUCCCACUACUAUUCAUGAGAAGAAAUUUGCUUAUGUGGAGAGUAAUAAAAACUCUAUGCUUGUGCAUCAUGAAAAUAGUGAUUUAUGUGAUAGUUAUAUCAUUGAAUUCAUUCAUGAUUCUACUGAAAAAUAUUAUGAGGGAGGAAUAUAUGCUUGUAGGAAUUGCAAUAAUAUCAAGUUUCCUCUCUAUGUGUUGAAAUUUUUGAUGUUAUGCUUGUAUUGCCUUCCUAUGAUAGUUGAUUCUUGCUCCCAUAAGUUGUUUUCUCACAAAAUCCCUAUGCAUAGGUAG